UAGAAGUUUUAGUUGUGUGUUUUCAGCCUAAAAGAAAUCCUGUCUUUUGUUCCAGCUUGUUCUUCUUGUAGGGGCGUCCCAUCUGCACUCCCUUGCAGAUGGGAUUGUGCUGAUGCCAGAGGAUUGCUACACCUUUGGCGUCAUGUCCACUCCAGGGGUGUGCGCUGACUAGCUCAGGACUGAGAAUGAAAAUGCUGUUCUUCCUCGGAUCUCUGAUGCUGUCUGUGUCAUGGCCCCUGGGAACAACCUGACGGCCAGCAAGACGCCUAAGCAAGGAGGCAUAGCUUUUGGCCAAUACCCAGCCACUGUCUGCAGCGUUAGGCCGACUGCACAGGUAGGUUAUUCAUGUAUUCUUUUUAAUGAGGCAGAUGUGUACAGGUCAAUAUGAUUUUGUCAUUAACCAUUAUUAUUUUGUUUAGGUCUUCGCUGGGACCUUGUCCCACACUUGACAGUCCCGGGGGAUAUCCAAGAGUUUUUCCGGCAGGAAUUUCACCACGUGUCAGCACGUCUCGGUGUGAAAUAUUUUCACCACGCUGACCGCUUCCCCCUGAACAACCGCAAGCUGUGGGGCUGUGAUGGUGUGCACCCCAGUGACGACAUGGGGAUGCCUAUCCUCGUGGAGUUGCUGUUGGCUGCCACCAAACAGCACCUGGAGAUACCAGCACCUAAGCCACAGGUAUCAUGCCCGGUGUCUCCCAAGCCUCUGCCAAAGGUGGUUCCACGUGUGAUUAUGGUGGGGGAGGUUAUAGUUCCACGGGCCCCCCCUCCUGAGUGGACGUCUGUACAGUUGGGCAGGAAGAGGAACCACUCUGAACAUGGGCAUGGGUCUGGUUCAUCACAGAGACGAGUGGUUCAUCAUGUGGUAUGCGAUCUUUCAUUUAACCAUGAUAUUUACAUAACAGUGAUAGUUUGUGUGCUUUAUCUAAGAAAAUGACAAGUGUUAGAAAUAAUCUACAUGUCUGUCAACACUCUGCCUUGCGAGAGUGUUUCAUUCAUAUUGUAUAUGGAUUACGCUCGCGUAAUAUCACAUAGGAUUACGCUUGCGCGGGUCCUAGUCCUUUUUUUUUUGUUAACCAACUGGUCUUUUUCUGUGGGUUUGGGUAGUUCCUAGGGGGUAGUCUAGCUGUUCUUAAGUGCAUUCACAAGACACCCAAAGAAGCCCAUAGAGAUACUAUUUGCGUGUCACAGAGGAUAGUCAGGUGUGAGGUUAUGACAAGUUCAAAGAGACAACUCCGUAGUUCUGGUUGGAGGAGGGUUCCUUGGGGGUAGUCUAGCUGUUAUUUUAAGUGCAUUCAAUGGCACAAGACAUGUUCCUGAUCAAAUAUGUAAUGUAAUUAAUGUAUGUAAUAAUUUGCAAUAAAAUUGUAUGAUAUUUUACA